rnacentral:rRNA from 1 species
UACGAAGGGGACUAGCGUUGUUCGGAAUCACUGGGCGUAAAGCGCACGUAGGCGGAUGUGUCAGUCAGGGGUGAAAGCCUGUGGCUCAACCACAGAAUUGCCUUUGAUACUGUUUGGCUAGAGACCGGAAGAGGUAAGUGGAACUGCGAGUGUAGAGGUGAAAUUCGUAGAUAUUCGCAAGAACACCAGUGGCGAAGGCGGCUUACUGGUCCGGUUCUGACGCUGAGGCGCGAAAGCGUGGGGAGCAAACAGGG